rnacentral:rRNA from 1 species
AUUGAACGCUGGCGGCAGGCCUAACACAUGCAAGUCGAACGAGAGGCGGUCGUGUGAGUUAUGUCUGGGAAACUGCACGUUGGGGAGGGUUAACUACGGGACAAAUUAGCCAAUAACGUCCUUGCUCGGCUGGGCCAAGAUGGGAUUUGCUAGGAGGUGGGGUAACGGCGCAGCUAGGCGACGAUCCCUAGCUGGUCUGAGAGGAUGACCAGCCAAACUGGAACUGAGACACGGUCCAGACUCCUACGGGAGGCAGCAGUGGGGAAUAGUGCACAAUGGGCGCAAGCCUGAUGCAGCCAUGCCGCGUGUAUGAAGAAGGCCUUCGGGUUGUAAAGUACUUUCAGCGAGGAGGCGUUACUCGCAGAAGAAGCACCGGCUAACUCCGUGCCAGCAGCCGCGGUAAUAC